ACGAGCGUUAGAAAUUGGAACAAAAGCACUUGAACCUGUUGAUAUUGAGACAAUCUACAACAAUCUGCGUUCGGUUUACAUUUUAUGGGAGAGUACGAAAAAGCAAAAGAUUUGUUGGAACAAUUGAUAGAAAUUGAAAUGAAAACAUUUGGACCUGACCAUGUUGAUCUUGCGUCAAAGUACAACAAUCUCGGUUCGGUUUACAUGAUAUGGGAGAGUACGAAAAAGCAAAAGAU